CUGUUUGUUGCUUUGAACGAGUGUUUACCAUGGCGUUACAAUGGCGUAAUUCAAUUAUAAUUAAAUGUCAAUUCAUUGUAUAUUUUGCUUUAACAAUUUCUUCGAUCUUCAUGUUUUAUUACAGGUGCGUAAUAUUUUUUUCUUGGCUGGACAAAUUCUAUUUAACUAGUAUUCUUUAGCAAUACUUUGUAUUGAACGGUUCUAUGCGUUAGUUUAAAUCAAGUGUUGCUUUGUUUAAUUACUGUUAUAUGAAAAACGUUUCUAUUAUGGUUAUAGUUCAAACGUUAAGGUUUCGUUUAUUUUACAAAUGGAAAUAUGCUUUCUCUUAAUAUGUGACAUUACGAGUUUAUUAAAUAAGUCAAUAUAAAACAUAUUCUUCCUGUGUUGUGUUAACCUUCUUAACGGCAUUAUUAUGCAGACGUAUUUUACAAUUUGGCAUUUACUCAGGUCACAUUUUGAUUAUAAAACAAGGAUAACAAAAAAACUAUUUCAUAAAUGUACAAAGCAGCCACGAUUAUUUGUUGCGAAACAGUUUGUAAAUUACGUAUUUCAUGUUAAUGUCAAAGUAGUCUUGUCCACUAGUAUUGUAUUACUUGUAUUACUGUAAAACAUAACACAAGUGCACGUACAUAAUUAUACAAUCACCAUUUCCAAGACGCCUGACCAGCCCGCCGUUCCUGUGCCAACUUUGGCCCGUUCUGCAGAUGUCCUCAGUACGUAAAUGGUUGUUAUACAUGCCCGGCUUUCUGCCCAUCAGCUGCAGGUUCAGCUUUCCAUCCAGACGUCAUGUCCGAAAUACAUACCAAUCCACCAAGCACACACGGUACUUCCGGUACUGCGCAGACUCAAGCCUCUUCUUAUAUCCCGUCGUCGUAUUCAACUAACAGCCCCACCAGUCAUACCCAAUUGUCAAGUACUUUCAAAUCUGUACAAACACCAGCGACCAGUAGUUCUCCGUCCACACAAGGAAGUGGAUCAUCUUCCUCCGGCAACCAUAAACUUGUAUGUCCCCCAUUACCGUCCUGUCUAGAUGUCACGAAGAUAACAUAUGAUGACAAUAAUUGCGCUAUGUGCUCCAGCACAGGAAACCAUAACCGACCGAUCACCAAUACAAACGGCUGUCCACCCGUCAGCAUGCCGAUGACAGAUUGCCAUAUAGAUCGGAAUGGAUGCUUGCUUUGUCAGGGGUCAAGUACGUUAACUUCUUUUGAAUGCAUGUGUGUAGUAACAGCAGACGCAUUCUGAAGAUUUAUUUGAAUCUUCUCGCUAAGAUAGUGACAUUCCGUUUGUAAUCCAACGUGUAUUUAAAUCGGUAACGAUGUUCUU